AAUUAAUGAACUUGUUCUAAGUGUAUAUUUUGAAAAUAUAAUAAAGAAGUUAAACCCUUCUAUUAAUUU
rnacentral:tRNA from 1 species